rnacentral:miRNA from 1 species
AGAACUGUCUGAAUGGUUGGC